UGAGAAAAGGAACUGACUGUGCCUUAAAAAAAGUGAAGUUGCCAAAAGUGAGUGAUUUUAUUGUGAAAUGAUCGGCCAGUCACUCGUCUCCGGGGCCUGAAGGCUGACCCUCUCUGACUUGAGGCACAGCCAAGGCCUGGGGGUCCGGGGAAGGUGCCCGACUGUGUCCCAGGGCUGCGGCAUGCCCCCCCACGCCCGGUCACCACUUUUCCUAGGAGCCAGGCUGCGUGGACUGGGGGCCUGUUUGUGCACCAGUUUGCACGGCACUUUAUCAAUUCAUUAAAUGAAUGGAUUUUGGAUGCUGGAUGUGUGGGCAGAAGAGGGGCAAGAGAAGAGGUGGCAGGUAGACUCCCUCCUCCUCACAUUUGACCCAACUAGCAAACUUAAAAAAAAUAAAAUAAAAUAAAAGCUGACCCCCCUCCCCAGGUCUUAGUUUGCUAUCUCUGAUGUAAAAAUCAAUUAUUUUUUCUCUCUUUUUUUUUUUUUUUUUUCAAAUAAUCCAUCUAACAGCCAUGAGACCACUCAAGUAUUUGAGGUCAUCAGCUGCGUCCAUCAAGACAUGAUAUUGAACAUGGACACCAUCUGGUCUGUUGGUCUGUUUUUGUUGGCAAAGGACUCCAAAAGGAUGCAGUUGUAUGUGUUUCAGCUGAACCACAUACCAUAGCUCCUCUCCCCUCACAAAAGGGUUUCUCUGGGGGGAGAAAAGUAACUGAUUAUACCUCUCAUGUCUCAAACUGAAAUUCUGAGAAGCAAAUGGUCAGUUGAGGGCCCCAUUCCAGAUCUGCCGGGACGUCCUCAGAUGUCCAGAGCUGGCAAAAGGUGGAGCAGGCAGCAGCCUUGGGCACCAGCCUGUCUCUUUCUGUUCUGAUAAGGCCACACACAUGGCUUUUUGUGAUAAGCUUCCAGCCCAUGCCACUGAAAUAACGUUUAAGAACCUGCUGCAUUUCACAGAAAUAGCGUAAUGGAAAUCAUUAUGUAAUUAAACAAAGCAUGAAGCUCAUUAUCUUUUUCUUUUUAACAAAACCUUCAAUUUCACAUUUUAGUGUACACUGUGGUUUCCAGAGAAAUAUAUGGAUCUCCUAUAUUCUGAGUCAGACCAAAUUUAUUGCCUUUAUUCUUACCCUAGUCUAUGGGGUCAAUAACCGUUUUCCUGAAUGCUGUCAAAAUGGUGCCUGAAAAUAUCUAAAUCCCAGCAAAAACCUAGGCCUCAACUUUGGAACCCAGUCAUAGAUCUUUCUAGGCAGAAGGCCUCUCAGGGGAGUACAUGCCCUGGGCAAAGGCCAUGGACUCGGAAGCAGGAAGGUCACGGGAUGAUUUAAUGGCAUCGAAUAAUCCUUUGGUGAGAUGGCCUUUGUUGCCCUCAGCACAGUCGAGGCAGGUUAAUCAUUUAUUUGCCACAACCCUUCCUUGCUCUGUAAAGCUGCAGCACAACUGGGUGGUCCGUAUAGCCUUUUCUGCCACAGAUGUUUGUGGACAUUUCACUUCCAGACUGUGACGUCUGAAGAUGGGCUUGAAUGACAGCAGCCAUCAUCGCUGCCAUUAGGGAGGUGCACACAGCCCCCUUUGCUCGAUGCAAAUAUUUGGUUGGUAAGAAAUUCCAGUGCAGCUAAACAAGUCAGCUUGGACUGAGUUAAGAAAAGCUGGGCCACUUUUAACAUGAGAAGAGCAGAUACUUCCCCAUGCUUGGCAAUGCCAAUGCCGUAAAAAUGGGAAGUGUUGAGACAAACCUCCUGUGGACGAGAGGUUCCCGUGGACAUUUUUAACAAUCAUGAGCCUUCAGGUGGUGGCAUCAGUCUUCAUGGGUGACUUCUAUGGACAGCAUAAUUUUCUUGCCUCUCCUGAAUCUAUACUACUUUUCUGAAUGUGAAAGAAGGUCUAAAAAGUAAUCCCUCGGGAUCCCUGCAUCAGGCCAACCAUGCUAACUGCAGAGGGUGAGGCUGGCAGUCCAGGAGAUGGGAGCUGAGGACAAGGCUGCAGGCCCUACAUCUGGAGGCUGGUGUUUUCAUUUUAAAAUGGAGGCUGAUUUGCUGUUACCCCCUCAAACAGCUGAGGAGACCACAGGAACCUGCUUUGAAAGCUGCCCAGAGCCAUGGCAUCCAUAGGUGGUGAGCUGUGGGCAUGUUCUCCUGGUGGCAUCUGCAUUUUGAAAGGCCACACUGUUGAAGAGGUACCAGCUGUUGAAGGUGGCCAGCUUUCCCCAGGCCCCAGGAAGCCCCCCACCAAAGGCCAGGCUGUCGGUCAAGCCAGUCUUAGCUGGGUGCAUUGGGCUUGCUGUGUUGAAGCAAUGAAUCUAUUUUAAAACUGGAGUUCAGUGAGACAUUUCAAAGACAGGUGUGGCCACUGGAUCAGGACCAAAAAACCCUCCAUCAUGUAUGCGGCUGGUAAGUAGCAGAUGUGCGCAGAGAUACAGUGGUUUGAAAAUGGGAGUUUGAGGUGGGAAGUGCUUGGAACCAAACACAGAGAGGCCCAGGUGCAAGUUCAGAGGAGACAGACCUUAGGAAGUCGCGGUUUCAUCAGGGCUUGCUUUGGUGCAUCUGUUUCCAUCCGCAUCUGGUAGGGUCUCUCUGAGGAAGUGGCUUCCUCGUGGCCAGCAGGAAGAGGUGAAGAGGAGAGGGGGUGCUGGGGGCGGUGCGGGGAGGGGGGUUUGUCACUGCAGGCCGGGACCAUCGGCCGCUUCUCCUAAGCCCAAGACGUGCCCAAUGUCAGUUUCACCAAAUUGGGGUAGCACCUUUUGCACGUAUCUUCAAGGCUCCCUUUACACAACCGAAGUUCCUUCCAGACGUCAUACGAGAUGCUGCUCCCCUGUGUGUGGGCAGGCUCAGGUGUGUGCACUCAAGGAGUCUCCAUCCCACCUGCCCUAACUACAGAGGCCACAGGCUGUGCGCCUCAGCUCUAGCAUGGCCUUUUGCAGGGCCUGCUGAGGUAUUUGUUACAUGGUCCAUUGCGGGGAAGUGGUGGCUAAGUUGUUGACUUCUCACGGUAUAGCAAAUCUCUCAUUUGUACCUUGAGCUCUUGCUCGGCUCUGGGAGGCUGCCCUGUCCCUGGAACCUCCAGACAACGCUCCAGGAAGGCUGUUUCCCUGGGGGUCUAAAAUGGCCCAGUGUAAGAAACGUAUCAGCGCAGCAGAAGGGUGCCUUGUCUGCUCUCUAAAUGCGAAACAAAACAAAACACAGCUCUUUAAAACAGGGACAGCUCUCCUGGGCAUCCUUGAAUGCUGAGUUCUGGGUUUCUGCCCCACUUCACGUCCAUUAUGUUCGUAUAGCAAACACACCCGUUAGGAAGAUGCUUUAUACUCUUCUCAUCGGAGCUGGAGGAAGGGUCAAGCGGAAACAGGCAAGCGAGGUGGGAAGAAAGGCACCAGCAGCCGUCAGCCCGUGCUCCCAGUCCCGCUCCUGCCGCUGUAACUGGAAGCAUCUUGUUUUGACAAUUCAUCCAAACGGCCUUAGGCCCUGCACAGUUCUCCGGUCUCUGGAAGUGUGGUGGGGACGGAAUCCAACAUGUGGGACACCCAGCUGGAAGUGCCAGGAGGUGGGAGAGGAGGGAUGCGCCGCCAGGCUCCCCUGGACAAUGGAGAGGCCUGCGUCUGCUCCCGAGCCACAGCCAGCUGGCACACAAGAGGCACGUCUGGGAGGAGUCCCUCGCCGUGCCUUCACCCUGGUCAGCACGGUAGACCAAGGCUGUUAGGUCUCUGAGGACUUUGGCACUUUUUGCUAUUAAAAGUUGAGAAAAUGAAAAACCGUGUUUAAACAAUGACUUGUUGAAGAGUGGGUAAAUUUGGCGACUUCCUACAUUCGCUGCCAGAGGGAGCGGGUGCCACACAUGUGCUCCGACACUCCUGGAAUCUGUCCUGACAUCUCUUUUGUUCUUUUGGCUGAUGUCUGUUGAAACCCAGCAAGCAAGAAAUGCACUCUGUUAAUAGUUCCCAUUUGAACUGGGGCAUAAUCAGCCUAUAUUUGAGUAUUGAUGCCCUGAGAAAUCUAUGAUUAGGUGACCCAAAAUAUUCCAGCAUUGAGUGGCAAUUAGUGGUUUUGUUAUUUAAAGAAAUAGGAAUGCCUGAUUUCCUUCCCUAUCAACACAAGAGACCAAUGUCGAGUGACUUUCAGCCUGAGGUCACGGGUGUCUCCAUUCUGGCUUCACCAGAGAUGUCCCUGGAAGUCUUGCUGGGCCUUAAGGAAACCAAAAUGCUCACCAUCGCUGCUGAGUGUCCCGGGAGCUAACAUCGAACUUGCCAGUCAGCUCACUGUUACUGCUGAAAGCCUGAGACGGGGAGCUAUUUUAAACAGGUUUUAUGAAAAUGUAAACAGAACAAUGACUUCUCUGAAAACCAUGAGGCUCACUUUCCUGGACCACAUCUCCUUGAAUGGCACAGGGUACAUCAGAGCGAGCAGCUGCAGGGUCGCUGGGGACAACACAGGCUUGGCAUUGGGCUCCAGCCCCUGGAUCUUGUUGACACAGGGGCUUCUCAUUUUAGGAAAUAAUACUGAAACGGAUGCACCAUGACAGACACUCAAAGGCUAGCUUCUUUCUGAAUUAGGAUGGCCACUUGGCUGGUGGCAUAUAUGGAAACACUUUUAUUUGCUUUUGGUUCCUAAGACACUUGGGCAGACUGCCCGCCGCUGCUGCUGCCAUUGCUGGCCAACAGCCCCUUUGAUUGCAUCUUUUUUUUUUUUUUUUGCCGGGGUGGGAGAGGGUGGAAUCUAACUCUGUCACCCAGGCUGGAAUGCAGUGGUGAGAUCACAGCUCACUGCAGCCUCGACCUCCUGGGUUCAAGCAAUCCUCCCACCUCAGCCUGCAGAGUAGCUGGGACUACUGAUGUGUGCCACCCCGAUGAACUAAUUUUUAAAUUUUGUGUACAGACAGGGUCUUGCUAUGUUGCCUAGGCUGGUCUCGAACUCCUGGGCUCAAGUGAUCCUCCCACCUCGGCCUCCCAAAGUGCUGGGAUUCCAUGUGUGAGCCACUGUGCCUAGCCUGAUUACAAAAACCAAAACGGACUAAAUUUGUAAUUUUUAAAAAAGGAUGUCCUAACCCUAACUUUCACUUUUUUCUAGUGGAAGUCUCACACUGUGUCCUUCCCACUCUCGCAUUUUCAUAAUGCUGGUCAUGGGACCCUUAUCAAUCCUAAUCAUUCUUAAAAUAAUAAUGACCUCAGAAGAGCCAAAUUUUCUAAAGAUGGGGGAGAGGCAUCGACGAUACCUCCAGGUGCCCAGCGACUCCCUGGAGGCGGUGGUCCUGGCAGUUCCAGUCCAGAUCUAAAAAUUCUCAACAGGACAAUUUAUCUACCAGGUGGACAGAGAGAGAAAGUGUUUCCAGGUCCAUAUAUUCUUGACAAACUACCAUAAUCAACGCUGCCUUCCCAGCUGGACUGAGGUUGGUAAGUUGGUUUUGAA
rnacentral:lncRNA from 1 species